rnacentral:rRNA from 1 species
CCCUUAGAUGUCCGGGGCCGCACGCGCGCUACACUGAAGGAAUCAGCGUGGCUUUCUCCCUGACCCGAAAGGGUUGGGAAACCCGUUGAAUCUCCUUCGUGAUAGGGAUUGGGGCUUGAAAUUGUUCCCCAUGAACGAGGAAUUCCUAGUAAGCACAAGUCAUCAGCUUGUGUUGAUUACGUCCCUGCCCUUUGUACACACCGCCCGUCGCUCCUACCGAUUGAAUGUUCCGGUGAGCUCUUCGGACUGCGCGGUCUGCAGUUUCUGCGUUCCGUGCGGAAAGUUGCGCAAACCUUAACAUUUAGAGGAAGGAGAAGUCGUAACA